AGAAGAGAGGGAGGACUUUAGGAGUGAACAAAGAAAAUGGCAGAUGUAAAGGCAGAGACGCAGGAGCCCCAAGGCUCCUUACACGAGGGAGGGAACAACUAGAGCAUGAGGUGCGGGGCAGGAAUGCUGAAAACAGGCUUAUAUGGCGUUGUUUUCUUUAUCUAGACUUAAUCAGGCCUGGACGACACUGAAACUAAAGUCAGUCAUCUUUUCCCGGCUUUGGGAACCGUGUCCAGGUUUCCUCGCUUUUCCUCGGCUGUGCACGAAGCGUGGGGGGCCUGUGAGGGUUGUUUCUCGCCGGCUGCUCACCGCCACGGAGGCUGCAGAGCGCGUUUCCUAUCAUCUCCGACCGGAGCAGAGCCCAACUCGGGUCGGAUCAAAUAAGAUCACUGUGUAGGUUAUAACA